rnacentral:rRNA from 1 species
AGCGUAGACGGUUUUGCAAGUCUGAAGUGAAAGCCCGGGGCUUAACCCCGGGACUGCUUUGGAAACUGUAGGACUAGAGUGCAGGAGAGGUAAGUGGAAUUCCUAGUGUAGCGGUGAAAUGCGUAGAUAUUAGGAGGAACACCAGUGGCGAAGGCGGCUUACUGGACUGUAACUGACGUUGAGGCUCGAAAGCGUGGGGAGGCAAACAAG